CCUACGGGAGGCAGUAGUGGGGAAUAUUGCACAAUGGGGGAAACCCUGAUGCAGCGACGCCGCGUGAGUGAAGAAGUAAUUCGUUAUGUAAAGCUCUAUCAGCAGGGAAGAAAAUGACGGUACCUGAGUAAGAAGCCCCGGCUAACUACGUGCCAGCAGCCGCGGUAAUACGUAGGGGGCAAGCGUUAUCCGGAUUUACUGGGGGUAAAGGUAGCGUAAACGGCAGUGCAAGGCUGGAGUGAAAGGCGGGGGGUCAACCCCCGGACUGCUCUGGAAACUGUACGGCUGGAGUGCAGGAGAGGUAAGUGGAAUUCCUAGUGUAGCGGUGAAAUGCGUAGAUAUUAGGAGGAACACCAGUGGCGAAGGCGGCUUACUGGACUGUAACUGACGUUGAGGCUCGAAAGCGUGGGGAGCAAACAGGAUUAGAUACCCUAGUAGUC
rnacentral:rRNA from 1 species